rnacentral:tRNA from 20 species
GCCCCCGUUGUGUAGCGGCCUAGCACGCCGCCCUCUCACGGCGGUAGCGCCGGUUCGAAUCCGGUCGGGGGUAC